rnacentral:rRNA from 1 species
CUACGGGCGGCACCAGUGGGGAAUAUUGGACAAUGGGGGAAACCCUGAUCCAGCAAUGCCGCGUGUGUGAAGAAGGCCUGCGGGUUGUAAAGCACUUUCGGUUGGGAGGACUGCUUCUAGCACUAAUAUUGUUGGAAGUUGACGUUACCUUCAGAAGAAGCACCGGCUAACUCCGUGCCAGCAGCCGCGGUAAUACGAAGGGUGCAAGCGUUAAUCGGAAUUACUGGGCGUAAAGCGCGCGUAGGCGGCUAGAUCAGUCGGGUGUGAAAGCCCCGGGCUUAACCUGGGAACUGCAUCCGAGACUGGCGAGCUUGAGUACAGGAGAGGAGAGUGGAAUUCCACAUGUAGCGGUGAAAUGCGUAGAUAUGUGGAGGAACACCAAUGGCGAAGGCAGCUCUCUGGCCUGAUACUGACGCUGAGGUGCGAAAGCGUGGGGAGCAAACAGGAUUAGAUACCCCCGUAGUC